ACUACGGGGCUCAAGUGAUCCUCCUGCCUCAGCCUGCCAAGUAGCUGGGACUACAGGUGUGCACCACCACGGCCAGCUUCAUGUUUCCUUUUAAAGACCCUUUAUGCAAAUAUAGGCAGUCACAUUAUCAGGUACUGGGGGUUAGGACUUAAACAUAUGAAGUUUUGGAGAACAUAUUUCAGCCAAUAACACUGUGCCUCAGGGCCCUAAUCUUUAACCUAGGGAAUAUAAUGAUAUUCUUAGAGAAAAUCAUAUCAAAGUGCUUUGUAGACUGCAAAAGUGCUGCACAAAUAUUGUGGUUACUUCCUGUGUCCUGACAACUUGUGCCUGGAUCCCUGAUGUGAUCAUUUAGAUCUCGUAAAAAUACCAGGUAGAGUCAGCCUCCUGAAGGUGGGAACAGUGGGUAACAGGUGUAGAAGCUGGGGCAUGAGGUUGUGUAGAGGUUGUGGCAUGCUCUCCUUGCAUGAAGGCCCUCUCUCCCCUGCUGCCCCCGCUGUUGGUGCUGUGUUCAGACUCAUGGACAGUGAGCCCUACAAUGUAUCACACCCCUGGGGCUGAGGGCAAGAGGGAAAGGGAACAAUGGCUCACACCAAAAUGUAAAAGGCCAUCCAGGAGUUCUGGUGUAUAGGCCCUCCACGUAGCUGGAAAUGAUGGCCACGAUUCCUCAGAUGCCUGCCGACUCUUUCUUCCACGUCUUUAGUGGGGGAUCGACAAGGUCACUUACCGUAGGGAGUGAUUUACUCCGCCUUCCCUGGAUCACAUCAGGUGAUUCUGAUCAGGUAUCUAUGUACUGUUACUCCCUGAGCAAGCAUUUGGCAGUACUGGUAGUGGUGGCGACCCAAGAUGGAUUUGAUGUCCUUUGGCACAUAUGCUCCAUUUUCAAGACAACAUUUCACAAAACUUAAUGGAGAGGCUUUUGCUUUCUGAAUCUGCCCUUUUUUCUAGAAGGGUGAGAAAGGAAGGUCAGAUCUCAUUUUCAGACGAUUAGUGACCAGCGCCCUCCUGCAGUGUCCAUGCUCCCACCCUGGGGCUUUCCUUUGAAAUCAGCAAGAGUCUGUGUAGAUUAAGAGAUACGACUCAGGAGCAGGUCCAAAUAGAAGCGGCUUUCCCAUAUUAAUAAUAAUGUUUUACAAUAAUGUCACUCUGGGUGCUUCCUCUAUUCCUUGGAGCCACAGAUAGUGGAUUUAUUGACUUGUUUUCCUUUGACUUAUGGCUCUUUCUCGUUAUUUUCUGAGUGCGGUUUUGCUUUGCUUCCUGGAAAAGGAAAUAGAAGUGGUUCUGGUCAAUCCUGGGAGAGUAGAGCCUCGUUUUGAAAUUUUACUCUGUUGAUGACAGGCCCGCUCAGAGCGAAGCAUGGCCAGAAGAGCAUGUUGGAGUUCCUUGCUCAUAUCCCUGUGAAUGUGGUCACAUGUGGCUGUAGGCAUUCAGUGGGUUCACGCAGUCUUUGGAACAGAACCCCACAAGGGGCAGAAAAUCAACCUUCUAAGGCUUGGGGAGUACUGAACUGGACAAACCAGAUUUUAGAGCUUCCUCAGUGACAUGCGCCGAGCGGAUCCAGUGGCCCCUCUUAGAGUCUCUCCAGGAGAGGGGGACCCUUCUUUCCUUUCUUCCAUCUCCACUUCCCUCUCCCUAGGGCCCAGUGCUUUCACUGACCUCCUCUCCCGUUGGAAAUUUAGAGGUUACGUGCAUUUCAUCUAUCAGUGAAUACAAAGAAGAUGAUUCUGAAUCUCAGAGAACAGCUAAAGUGGAAUUUCAGGCAUUUCCAGGGAGAGUUUAAAUGGUAGGAAGGGCUGGGUUUGCCAUUGGUGGCCAUUAGUUUGCCUAUACUAAGACAGCUUUCUUUUUUGCUGUUGGGUCUGUGACAAACGUCAUUCAUUUGACAUGAAAAGAGUUGGGACCAUUUUGGUCUUAGCUGGCUCAGUUAAGUGCAUGUGAGGGAGCCCGUUUUUCACGCCUGGCCAGCUCUGUGCUUAAGCGGCCCUGUCGUAGCCAGAGUAGCCUCAUUACAGGUGAAGUCCCCCGUAGACCUCCUCCUUCCUCUGAGCCCAGGGCAGUGCCAAGGCCGGGGACUCUGUCUGGCACUGGUGACAGGCUGUCUUGUCCUGAAGACACGAGGUUAGGUUUGGCAGCUGGCUCCUGCACUGAACGUAGCUGAGCCGUUCCCCUCACACCCCAAGUGUGGCACCAGGCUGGUCACUCAGAAGCAGCGAGUGGGGUGUCCUGGUGGGAAAAGCCUGGCUCUGUGCAGCCUCGGGGAAGGUUUUCAGCGCCUUCUGAACCUGUUUCCUCAUCUCUAAGGCGGGGACCAGGAAGCCCGCCCCGCAGAGUAGUUGCAGGAAGGAGACAUGUAUCUGGGAGCAGCUGGCGCGUUCCUGGCAUGCGCUGCUCCCAUCCGAUUUCCCCAGACUUCCUGCUGGAACGUUUUCUCGGGCCUUAAGUUUUCCUGAGAGGACGACGUGGAGAGUGGAGACAAAGAUGCUCAAAAGCCGGGAAAUCGCAGGCUCGGAAGCCCCCACGCACGCCUCUGAACGCAGCCGCCUCUCGGGGCCGCGACGGGACUAAGCCUGCCGCUUGCAGGCUGCCAGCGGCAGGGGCCGCGAGCAGCCGGCUUAGGCCGCUCCCGCAAAAAGACCCAGCCGCUAGGGUUCCAGGGGUCCGCAGACGCUUCCGAAGGGCCCAAGGCGAGAGAGCCCGGCUGGCUCGACGGCCACGUGACCGUCCGCGUCCUCAGCGCCCACGUGACCGUGCGUCCGCGGCGUCGAUUGACUGGGAGCUCCCUGGCCACGCCCCAGGCGCCGGGCCCCGGGCUCCGGGGGGCGGUGCUGCUGCGGUUGCCAUGGCGUCCUCCUAGCGCGCAGGCGUGGGCCCAGGGUCGCUUUUCCGGUAUUUGCUACAGUCUCUCGGGAUAGCUGGUCACCUUUGCUUGCUGAGUUUCGCGCCCUGCGUCCUCUGGUUUUCAGCAACUUGCAGUGCAGCCGUCCUGCAUGAGGCCCUCCAGCGAAUGCCCUAAAGCUCCGGAGUUGCUCCGGAGGAAAGCAGGCUUGCCCCGAGAGACCACGUCCUUACUGCCCGUGCCGUUGUGGUACCUUGAGGGCACCCUUCUGGGAAGAUCCUUGCAGAGGCCAUGUCCCCUCUCCACGACAUCUAAGCCCAGUCCCAACUUGCUUUUCACGCCUGUCCCCCCGGGAAACAUCUACUGGACCUCAGGACAGCCCCUCACCCCCGUGCAUUCCCGAGGUGAAUCUGCAGCGAAGCCUCUGUGGUGACUCACAGUUGCUAGCAUUGGUUAUCUUCUUCCUGGCAGAAGGUGGCAGGCUGAUGCUGGCCUCGUUCCUGUGUGUCUGACAGAUCACAAAUGUGAAUUCAGAUCGUCACAGCUGAGUCAUGCUCAGGAUUUCCAUGAGCCCUGCUGGGGUGGCCAGCUGAGCUUCCUUCCCCACGGCCCCCUCCAGCUCUGCAGCACCAGGCACCAGUGUGACUCAUGGGGGCCUGUGGAAGCCGGGGCUGCUCAGUGGGGCUGAGUCUAGGAGGGGGAGAGAGAAAGGGAGCCCAGCAACAAUUACAGCGCAAACGCCGCAGCUGCCACCACCGAGUGCUUCCAGUUGGGAACUGGUUUGUGAAAUUCAUUACCCUAUGAGAUGAGUUUUAUCUCUGUUUCACUCCAGAGGAUUCUGAAGCUCAGGAGGUUGUGAAUGACUCCGGGAAGCACAGCUGAUAGCUGUACUCUUCACAUGUCCUUGCUUCAAGAAACUGGUUGAAGACCACCCUUCCUCCAGCCUUGCAGUUGCAAACACACUGACAGCUCCCGAAUGAUCUGAUACAGGAUCCUUAAUAGGCACGGAAGUGUUCACCAGACAGAGAGGUCCUGCCCUUGCCGAUCUGAGCUGGUUCUGUGUUAGAGACUCCGUGGGCGUCUGUUUGACAGGAUCUGCCAGGAGCAGCAGAAUAACGUUCCUGAUCUGGAAGAGCAAAUCUCAAAUAUUUUGCACAUUUGCAGAACCUACCCCUAGGAGUGGGAGGAGACCACAACCAAAGAAGCAAAUGGAGACACAGAAUAUCAGAUGAACAGCAGCUACACAGGCAAACAGAGCAGUGCAGCAGGAUUGGAGGUGCUUGUGGUGAGAGGAGGCAGGGAGUUGCUUUUUACAUGGGGAGAUCAGGGAAGGCCUCAGUGGGUAGGUGAUAUUUGAAGAGAGAGAGAGACCUGGGAGAGGAAAGAGAGUGAGCCCUGUUGAUAUAUAAGGGUAGAAUGACUCUGGCAGACGGUUGGUGCAAAGGUCUUGUAGCAGAAAACACCUUUUUGGACUUCCAUUGUGAAUAUCUUGGGACACUCAAUGGUGUCCCACAGAUCUCUGAAACUUUGUUUGUUUAUUUAUUUAUUUAGAGACAGGGUCUUGCUCUGUUGC